GGCGAACGGGUGAGCAACGCGUAGGAAUCUACCUAGUAGAAGGGGAUAGCCCGAGGAAACUCGGAUUAAUACCGUAUACGUCCUUAGGGAGAAAGAGGGCUUAGCUUUGAUGCUCUCGCUAUUAGAUGAGCCUGCGUAAGAUUAGCUUGUUGGUGAGGUAAAGGCUCACCAAGGCGACGAUCUUUAGCUGGUCUGAGAGGACGAUCAGCCACAUUGGGACUGAGACACGGCCCAGACUCCUACGGGAGGCAGCAGUGGGGAAUAUUGGACAAUGGGCGCAAGCCUGAUCCAGCCAUACCGCGUGUGUGAAGAAGGCCUUCGGGUUGUAAAGCACUUUAAGUAAGGAAGAAAAGAGUAUUGUUAAUACCAAUACUCCGUGACAUUACUUACAGAAUAAGGACCGGCUAAUUCCGUGCCAGCAGCCGCGGUAAUACGGAAGGUCCAAACGUUAAUCGGAAUUACUGGGCGUAAAGCGCGCGUAGGUGGUUUAUUAAGUUGGGUGUGAAAGCCCCGGGCUCAACCUGGGAACUGCAUCCAAAACUGAUUCACUAGAGUACGAAAGAGGAAAGUAGAAUUCACAGUGUAGCGGUGGAAUGCGUAGAUAUUGUGAAGAAUACCGAUGGCGAAGGCAGCUUUCUGGUUCUGUACUGACACUGAGGUGCGAAAGCGUGGGUAGCGAACAGGAUUAGAUACCCUGGUAGUCCACGCCGUAAACGAUGACAACUAGCUGUUGGGAAGCUAUGCUUUUCAGUGGCGCAGCUAACGUCUUAAGUUGUC
rnacentral:rRNA from 1 species